GACGAACGUUGGCGGCGUGCUUAAUACAUGCAAGUCCACUGAAGCAGUGGUAGCAAUAUCGCUGUGGAGGUGGCGCACGGGUGAGUAACACGUAGGUAAUCUGCCUUCAGGUCUGGCAUAACUCCGGGAAACCGGGGCUAAUAGCAGAUGAUGCAGCGGCUCGACAUCGAGACAGUUGUUAAAGCUAUGGCGCCUGAAGAUGAGCCUGCGUCUGAUUAGCUAGUUGGCGGGGUAACGGCCCACCAAGGCAACGAUCAGUAGCUGGUCUGAGAGGAUGAUCAGCCACACUGGAACUGAGACACGGUCCAGACUCCUACGGGAGGCAGCAGUAAGGAAUAUUGCUCAAUGGGAGAAAUCCUGAAGCAGCAACGCCGCGUGAGGGACGAAGGGCUUUUGCUUGUAAACCUCUGUAGUUAGAGAAAAAAAUCCCAAUCUUUGGGACAUGAUGGUAGCUCAAAAGUAAGCCCCGGCUAACUACGUG
rnacentral:rRNA from 1 species